CUGGAACUUUCCUGUUUGGCUCUGUCAGCCAAGUGCAGCUUUCAAGUUCUCUAGGGGACUGCUGUAUUUUCUCAUGAAUCUCCGGCUCCUCUUUCGCUGGACGGAUUCCAAAUACUACAACUCCCUGUGUGACAGCUGGAGAAUCACUGCACCUUUCUGGGCCCCAUUGAGUGACAGAAGAUCGGAAUGGAUAGUCAUAUGCCUCCCCAGCGUGGAAGGAGAAGAGCCUAUACUUCCAUCCAUUCUGGCCUCUUCCAAGUUCCCCUCAUUUUUCUCUCUAAGAUCAAAUAAAUAAACAUGUUGUUAUUAUUUUUA